UUACGAGUAGUCAAAUUGUUGUUUUGAAAUAUUAUCAAGCAAGGUAAACUGGUGCUGCUUCUAUGACAGGUUUGGUUGGUCUAUGUAAUUAUCAAGGCUUACUUUGGGACUUCUAUUCAAUCAGCUCUAUUGAUGACCUUUUGUGCAAUUGGUCAAUAUUUUGCCCAUAUGUGAAACAAGCUGGAGUGAGGAGCUCAAGAAUUUGCUAAUUUGUUUACAUCCCAUUUGAUCCUAUUGUUGUCAUGGAAUUGUUUUAUCACAUGAUUGAUUUGGGUGUGCUCACUUGGCUGAGGAACUUUAAAUUCCAGACCUGAGACCGAUCAAAAUGAAGAAAAGGGAUUUUGCAGUGGAAGCAUCAGCAACAGUUGAGGACCAUCUUGCGUGCCAAACUUGAAGAGGCUUGUGGACCAACUGGAGUGUCCUGAGGAAGUUUUGAUGCUUGUGAAAAUCCAAAACACUUGAUCUAGCCUCAACAGCACAUACCUGAAUGAUGGCGAAUGUAGCUUUUUAAAUUGAAUAUGCUUUUUGUAUGCUCAUUAGGUUCUAUCUCUUUGUUAAUCAAAUGAGUGGGUCCGGAACUUUUUGUAUGUUACCCUGAUGUAGAGUUGUUUGAUGCGAUUGCAUUCUAAUGAUAUCACACCUGAACUCGAUGAGGCUCUGCAGAGGGAGAAUCAAGGUGCAUUUCAUGAAACUCAGAGAAAGUCCCCAAACACCACGGGAUGGAGAUACGAGCAUGAAUGAGCUAUGUCAUUAUGGAAAGGCAUUCCGAAGUUCUUUGCUAUUGGCGUUUAUCAUGUGCUCCAUGUUGUUAAUACUCUUCAAAUGAUUCUUGAUGUAAAGCAACCUCUUCUCA